rnacentral:SRP_RNA from 1 species
GCCGGGCGAGGUGGCGGGCGCCUGUAGUCCCAGCUACUCGGGAGGCUGAGGCAGGAGAAUGGCGUGAACCCGGGAGGCGGAGCUUGCAGUGAGCCGAGAUCCGGCCACUGCACUCCAGCCUGGGUGACAGAGCCAGACUCUGUCUCACAAAAAAAAAAAAAAAAAAAGAGUCUGACGUGUUUUUUUUUUUUUUUAAGACAGAGUCUCACUCUGUUGCCCAGGCUGGAGUGCGGUGGCACGAUCUCGACUCACUGCAGCCUCCACCUCCCGGGUUCAAGUGAUUUUCCUGCCUCAG